rnacentral:rRNA from 1 species
GGUACGGGCAGUGAGAGCUGUAGCCCGGAGAUGGGGACUGAGACAAGGCCCCAGGCCCUACGGGGCGCAGCAGGCGCGAAACCUUCACAAUGCUCGAAAGAGUGAUGAGGGUACUCCGAGUGCCUAUGCUUUGCAUAGGCUUUUGUCUAGCGUAAAUAGUUGGGCGAAUAAGGGCUGGGCAAGACCGGUGCCAGCCGCCGCGGUAACACCGGCAGCCCAAGUGGUGACCGCUUUUAUUGGGCCUAAAGCGUCCGUAGCCGGACAGGCAAGUCUUUGGGUAAAUCCUACGUCUUAAGCGUGGGAAUUCUAAAGAUACUACCUGUCUUGAGGCCGGGAGAGGCUAGAGGUACUCCUGGGGUAGGGGUAAAAUCCUAUAAUCCCAGGGGGACCACCGAUGGCGAAGGCAUCUAGCUGGAACGGGCCUGACGGUGAGGGACGAAACCCAGGGGAGCGAGCCGGAUUAGAUACCCGGGUAGUCCUGGGCGUAAAUGAUGUGGGCUUGGUGUGAGCGCAUCGACGAGGUGUGCUUGUGCCGUAGGGAAGCCGUUAAGCCCACCGCCUGGG